rnacentral:rRNA from 1 species
UUAACGGAAGUUUUCGGAUGGAAGUUGAAUUGACUGAGUGGCGGACGGGUGAGUAACGCGUGGGUAACCUGCCUUGUACUGGGGGACAACAGUUAGAAAUGACUGCUAAUACCGCAUAAGCGCACAGUAUCGCAUGAUACAGUGUGAAAAACUCCGGUGGUACAAGAUGGACCCGCGUCUGAUUAGCUAGUUGGUAAGGUAACGGCUUACCAAGGCGACGAUCAGUAGCCGACCUGAGAGGGUGACCGGCCACAUUGGGACUGAGACACGGCCCAAACUCCUACGGGAGGCAGCAGUGGGGAAUAUUGCACAAUGGGCGAAAGCCUGAUGCAGCGACGCCGCGUGAGUGAAGAAGUAUUUCGGUAUGUAAAGCUCUAUCAGCAGGGAAGAAAAUGACGGUACCUGACUAAGAAGCCCCGGCUAACUACGUGCCAGC